AUGGCUCGCCGCGGCGGUUUCUUCGGGUAUGACCCGUAUGACUACUACUACCCGACCUCCUACGGCUACGACGCCUACCCGUACUAUAGCCCCGCCGCUGCCGAUCCCUUCUUCAUGGACGCCGAGCCUCUCGUCACGGAGCGGCUGCGCCCCGCCCGCCGGAGGGCCCCGGCGCGGCACGACGGCGGCUUCUUCCCUGGCUUCGGCGCCGCCGAGCCGGCCGCGCGGACCAUGGAGCGUCCCAGGCCCAGCAGCGGGUCCCCGAAGAGCAGCCCGGACUGCUUUGAGGUGGAGGUCACGGGGCCCGAGCCCGACUCGCCGCCUGCGGUGCCGAGGAACCCGGCGCCGUCGGCGGAGGAGGCCGCGGUGAGGGUGCAGGCGGCGGCGCGUGGGCUGCUUGCUCGCCGCAUGGUGCGGGAGGUGCGCGCGGUGGAGCGGCAGGCGGAGGCCGUGGCCGCGAGGUUGUCGGCCGAGGCGGAGGCGCUGCGCGCGGACGCCCGUGCGCGGAUCGGCCUCGGGGAGGAGCUCAUGCGGCUGCUGCUGCGUCUCGACGGCGUGCACGGCGCCCGGGAGUACCGCAGGAGGGUCACUCGGCGUGUGCUCGCGCUCCAGGACGCCGUUGACGCGCUAGAGGCCAUGUCGGCGGUGGUGACCGCCAAUGCGCCGGAAGUUCAGGAUGCAGCGGACGAAGCAGAGGAUGGGAUAGAAUCAGAGUUGGAGCUGCUGGUUGAGGACAACACUGUGGUGGAUUCUCCGGGUGCCGAGACAACCGACAUGGCGGCGAUGGAGGUUGACGCGGCGAGUCCCGUCGUCGUCGACGAGGACAACCAGACUGAGACCAAACUGGUGGCGGAAGUGGAGAAGGCCUCAGAGGCGGAGGGCGAGUGGGAGAUGGUGGCCACGGGGGACGGCGACGUCUCCACCGGCGAGGAGGACCAUGCACCACCCAAGGCAUUGCAGCAGCAAGAACCAGCAGGAGAGGAGAAGAAGACUGUGACCACCGACGGGUUGGACGCGAAGAAAUUCAUGGAGAUGGUGGCGGCGUUGUGCGAGCGGAGCGCGCAGCAGUGCGCUCUGAUCGGGGCCCUGGCCGAGCGGGUCGACACGCUGGAACACGCCGUCCGGCGGGUGGAGGAGGCCGACCGGCGCCGCCGGAGGAACAAGAAGACCAAAAAGGACAGCAAGAAGAACACAAAUAGCUUCUACAGCGACUAG
rnacentral:rRNA from 1 species